rnacentral:tRNA from 1 species
CCUUCGAUAGCUCAGUUGGUAGAGCGGUGGACUGUAGCGAAAGUGGCGAUCGAGCAGUGGUGGAACUUCACCCCCAGUUAGUGAUCGUCACGUGGUAGUAGUAGUAAUCCAUAGGUCACUGGUUCAAAUCCGGUUCGAAGGA